rnacentral:rRNA from 1 species
UACAGAGGUCUCAAGCGUUGUUCGGAUUCAUUGGGCGUAAAGGGUGCGUAGGCGGCGCGGUAAGUCGGGUGUGAAAUCUCGGGGCUUAACUCCGAAACUGCAUUCGAUACUGCCGUGCUUGAGGACUGGAGAGGAGACUGGAAUUUACGGUGUAGCGGUGAAAUGCGUAGAGAUCAUGAGGAAGACCAGUGGCGAAGGCGGGUCUCUGGACAGUUCCUGACACUGAGACACGGAAGGCCAGGGGAGCAAACGGG